UACCAGCACCCCGAGUGGUCGGGACGAUUAUUGGGCCUAAAGCAUCCGUAGCCGGUUUUACAAGUCCCCCGUUAAAUCCAGCUGCUUAACAGAUGGGCUGCGGAGGAUACUAUAAGACUAGGAGGCAGGAGAGGCAAGCGGUACUCAGUGGGUAGGGGUAAAAUCCGUUGAUCCAUUGAAGACCACCAGUGGCGAAGGCGGCGUUGCCAGAAUGC
rnacentral:rRNA from 1 species